rnacentral:rRNA from 1 species
CAAUAGCGUAUAUUAAAGUUGUUGCAGUUAAAAAGCUCGUAGUUGAAUUUCGGGCGCUCGUUGUCGACACUUGAUUGUGCCGUCGCGUGUGCCCUCCUCGCCUUUGGCGUCAUUUACUGUGAAAAAAUUAGAGUGUUCAAAGCAGGCAUUCGCUUGAAUACAUUAGCAUGGAAUAAUAAGAUAGGAUCUUGUCUAUUUUGUUGGUUGCGGACAAAGAUAAUGAUUAAUAGGGAUAGUUGGGGGUGUCCGUAUUGAGCUGUCAGAGGUGAAAUUCUUAGAUUUGCUCAAGACGAACUACUGCGAAAGCAUUCACCAAGGAUGUUUNCAUUAA